rnacentral:rRNA from 1 species
UAGUUCCUACGGGGCGCAGCAGUGGGGAAUAUUGGGCAAUGGGCGCAAGCCUGACCCAGCAACGCCGCGUGAAGGAAGAAGGCUUUCGGGUUGUAAACUUCUUUUCUCAGGGACGAAGCAAGUGACGGUACCUGAGGAAUAAGCCACGGCUAACUACGUGCCAGCAGCCGCGGUAAUACGUAGGUGGCAAGCGUUAUCCGGAUUUACUGGGUUUAAAGGGUGCGCAGGCGGAAUGUCAAGUCAGCGGUAAAAUUUCGGGGCUCAACCCCGUCGUGCCGUUGAAACUGGCGUUCUUGAGUGAGCGG